UUGAACGCUGGCGGCAUACCUUACACAUGCAAGUCGAACGGCAGCACGGGUGCUUGCACCUGGUGGCGAGUGGCGAACGGGUGAGUAAUACAUCGGAACAUGUCCUGUAGUGGGGGAUAGCCCGGCGAAAGCCGGAUUAAUACCGCAUACGAUCUACGGAUGAAAGCGGGGGACCUUCGGGCCUCGCGCUAUAGGGUUGGCCGAUGGCUGAUUAGCUAGUUGGUGGGGUAAAGGCCUACCAAGGCGACGAUCAGUAGCUGGUCUGAGAGGACGACCAGCCACACUGGGACUGAGACACGGCCCAGACUCCUACGGGAGGCAGCAGUGGGGAAUUUUGGACAAUGGGCGAAAGCCUGAUCCAGCAAUGCCGCGUGUGUGAAGAAGGCCUUCGGGUUGUAAAGCACUUUUGUCCGGAAAGAAAUCCUUGGCUCUAAUACAGUCGGGGGAUGACGGUACCGGAAGAAUAAGCACCGGCUAACUACGUG
rnacentral:rRNA from 1 species